AUGGAGUGUCUAGUCCGGAUUGUUGCUUUCUGCUAUAUAAGAGGACGGAAGAGUAGUCGGCCAGAAUCUCCAUCAGAUCAAUUUUGGACGAAAUAUCCAAUGUCUUCGCCAAGUUCGCCGGAGGAAGAAGCGUCGAGUUUGCCGGAGGAACAACAACAUCCGUCGAGCACUCCAAUGUCGCCUGCGGCGGCUACACCAGAGAAAACAGAUGACAUCGCUGAACUGAAGAUUACAGAGGAUUUGGAUAACCGACCUUCAAAAAAAGCAAAAAUUGCGGAAUUAGGUGUUCUGGAGCCAUCACCAAUGUCGCCAACUAUAUCAGCAUCUACACCAAUUUCUGGAUGUUUUGAAUCCAUUGUGCUGGAAUCAGAUAUUCAGAUAGAUCAUGAUCCAUUGCCAUCUCCUCCAUCCCCAUCUAGCUCAACAUUUUCUUCUGUUUUCUCAUUACAUGAUGUCAAGGAACUAGAUUCAAAUAAAGAGAUCAAAGUUGAUGAGACAUAUGAUUAUCUCCCACAAGAAUAUGAAUUAACCGACCAUGAUCUAUGUGCACAUAUAGCAAUAGAAUCAUCUUUAAGUAAAGAAUUGUUGGUUCAGAUAGAUGGAAGUUCUGUGAGACAAAAUCAAUUGAUGUGUCUGCUAGAUAAAAACGAGUGGUUAAAUGAUGAUGUGAUCUAUGCAUAUAUAUGUUGUUUAAAGGACCAAAUUCAUGUACAGAAUGACAAUAAAGUAUAUUUUGAGAGUCCUUUUGUUACCUCACUAUUAAAACGGGAUGGUAACCUCGGCAUACAAGAAGAUAGUUCCUUUAUGACAAAGAUUGUCAAAAAAAAUAUGGAGCAUGACAUGAUAGAACUUCCAAUAAAUACCGGCAACACGCAUUGGUAUUUAGCUAUUGUGAAUACAAAAAAGCGUGAGAUUCAAGUGUUGGACUCAUUGUGCUGGAAGUUUGACCGAGAGGACCUUGCUAUUACGCUACGAGGAGUACAAUUUCAUUUGGAACUUCUUAAAAGUCAGAACUUGAUUAAGGAUGAUUGGAAAGACGUUGAUCUUACUGAAUGGAAGAUCACAGAACAAUUACAAUAUCCAAUUCAAAAAGACAGUACUUAUUGCGGUUUAUUUAUGGUCAAAUUUAUGGAAUAUUUCACCGGAUGUACACUAUCCUGCCCAAUUACACAGGAAAUGAUUACUUCUUUUAGGUUUAAGUUAGCCAGCAUACUAUUAUGUUGGAAAACAAAUACUGCAUCAAUGACUACGAUCGUUGAAGAAAGUGACGAUGACAACAAGGGAGAUCCUGAUGAUGUUCAAAUAUUGGAAAGUGUAGAUGAUAUUAAAAAAACAAAACAAAAAAUCCCAUUAUCUGUUGAAAAUAAAUACAGAUCACUAAUAUCUAUUCUUUCUAAUAUGAGCUUACAUGAGUUAACAGGUGCACUCUGUAACUUCAUUAAAUCAAUCAAAUACACCGAGAUUUUAGAGAAAGUAUGGAUACAAAGUUCAAAGCCGUAUCCAAUUAGCUUGUCUCUCAGAAAGCUACAAGGAAUGCUAAAUGAUGAUUUACCCAUGGACCGAGAUUGCUUUAAUUUGGUCGUACGGAUGAUUAUGUUUGAUGACAUCCAAAUGGCACAAAAAACAAAACAAUUGAUAACGAAGCAUUAUGUUGACAUGAAAUUUUGGAUGACUACCGAUUUUGGACGACACCCAGAAUUUCGCAAAAAGUUAGAUGUGGACCAACUAGCAAAUUCUGUUCGCAGUUGGCCUGGUAUCAAAUAUAAUGUUUCAACAUGCAAAUCGAUUCAUAUUCCAGUACAAUCCAACGGUGAUUUCAUUCUAUUCACAUUGGACAAAGAUACCAGAACAGUCUACAUUUUGGACCCUACUCCUAUUAAUCCCAUGUACCAAUACAACCCACUCGCAAAAUAUGUGGAAAAAAUUAUAUGGAUUGCCAAGCACUUACCGAAAGCAAUGUCAAAAGCAUGCCCUGGAUCUAGAUGGAACGGAAAUAUUCUUCUAUGGCAUCAAAAAAUCCUAGAUGAUAUUCCAGUUUACAACAGGGAAAUGUCCGGUUAUCUUAUUCCCAUGUUCAUGUCCACAUGGGAAGAUGAAAAACCACAUUUGCCAUUUUUAAAGGAUGGAUAUGAACUCAGAAAACUAAUUUUGGGCCAACUGCUAACAUUCAAGGACAAUGAAUGUGAAGAUAACAUGCCCGCCGGUGUACUUGAAUUCAUCAGUUGUAUCAGGAAAAUCCAAUAUAAAACUGGACGUGCGUGCUAUUUCUGA
rnacentral:rRNA from 1 species